GGCAAUAGCUCAGUGGUUAGAGCCCCUGCUUUGCAUGCAGGAGGUCCCAGGUUCAAUCCCCAGCAUCUCCA
rnacentral:tRNA from 1 species